AAAAACGGUCCCGGACGACUCUACAUUUUUCGUUCGGCAUCCGUAAUGGAAAGGAGAGUAAUCAUCACCCGUAUCGGCUCGCGGUGCAGCAGCGUGGAGACCUGUUGUAAAACCUUCGCUCCCAGGGCGGGCGUUGGUGAGUCGCGCUGUUAGCAAAAGCAGGGCGUGGCAGAGCCGGCGAUAUGGCG
rnacentral:ncRNA from 1 species